GAGGGUAUAGCUCAGUGGUAGAGUGCAUGUCUAGCAUGCACAAGGUCCUGGGUUCAAUCCCCAGUACCUUCA
rnacentral:tRNA from 1 species